UGCAGGAGUGGAAGUGAAGGCACAGAAGAGAAAAUAGAGUGCCCGCCUACCCUCCUUACUGUAGGAACUCGAAAUACAUUUUUUUGUUUUAAUGCACGCUCUUUGUUUUCAUGCUAGGAAUUGAGGAGUUGGGAUAGCUUCCGUCAUAACAAGAAGUACAAAGCUGAAAACUGAAAGUCAGCAGCUCUUCUGGAAUCUUGAGAUAACAUGUCAAGCCACUGCCCUCCAAAGCAAAGGUGGACAAGUAGAUACAGAGGUUUCCAGCUCCUGUGAACAGAAACCCCAAUGUCAGCCCUAGCCAGGAUCCAAAUGUGUAACUGAUGAAGGGCGAGAGGCUCGAUGGAUAAAGAACACAGAUGAGAUGCCUGGUAGUGUGACAACCACAGAACGGCUAAGCAACAAUGAAUUACUGAAAUUAAAGAAUCAGAAUAAAGAAGACAAAGAUAGUGCAAAGAAAGGACUCCAUCUUCAUCCAGUUUAAGGAUACUGUGUAUUUGUUGGAGUCAUUUACAGUAUCCUGGGCAACUUGAAGGGCAAGUAUAUCACCUGAGAGCCUGCAAUGCAGCCUAUAAAUAGGUGCACCACCACCACUGAGUUUCC
rnacentral:lncRNA from 1 species